rnacentral:tRNA from 1 species
AAGGAUUUAAGUUCAGUUUGAAACUAUUGAAUGUCAUUUUCAGCAAUUGAAUAUAUUUGAAUUCUUU